rnacentral:lncRNA from 1 species
UAUUUCACAGACCAGUACUGUGAAAAACAUGCUGAAUGCAACAGAGAAAUGAAGAGAUGCGCUACUGCUGUCUUGAAAGAUACACAUGCUCAGCAUUUGUCUGCAGAGGUUUUCAACUUGCCCUGAAACUCCAUCCUGGCAAAACGUCUGACACACAUCCCAGAGCACUUCAGUUUAAGAAAACAGCUCUUCUGUCCUUUCAUUUACACCUACCAAAAGCAGCUGCCAACCACUUUCCAAAGAUGUUGACAGAGUAUUAAGCCUGUAGUUGCAAAUUCCAGUAACUUAAACAUGAG